rnacentral:rRNA from 1 species
AGUGAGCGCUGGCGGUAGGCCUAACACAUGCAAGUCGAACGGCAGCACAGGAGAGCUUGCUCUCUGGGUGGCGAGUGGCGGACGGGUGAGGAAUACAUCGGAAUCUACUUUUUCGUGGGGGAUAACGUAGGGAAACUUACGCUAAUACCGCAUACGACCUACGGGUGAAAGCAGGGGAUCUUCGGACCUUGCGUGAUUGAAUGAGCCGAUGUCGGAUUAGCUAGUGGGCGGGGUAAAGGCCCACCAAGGAGACGAUCCGUAGCUGGGCUGAGAGGAUGAUCAGCCACACUGGAACUGAGACACGGUCCAGACUCCUACGGGAGGCAGCAGUGGGGAAUAUUGGACAAUGGGCGCAAGCCUGAUCCAGCCAUACCGCGUGGGUGAAGAAGGCCUUCGGGUUGUAAAGCCCUUUUGUUGGGAAAGAAAUCCAGCUGGUUAAUACCCGGUUGGGAUGACGGUACCCAAAGAAUAAGCACCGGCUAACUUCGUGCCAGCCGCCGCCGUAA